rnacentral:lncRNA from 12 species
AUUUGAUAAAAAUAAAAUCCAAUUAAAAUACAAUAACAUAUGCAUAGUUUAAAGAGCUAAAUAAUUAAAAAAAAAAAACCUGUCCCUGUCCCAUGUACUCCCCUAUAGUAGCAACCUCUUUCAUAUAUUUUAGCCGAUUCUUUAGAUUUUGCCUCCGUAUUGAAACACACAAACACACAUUACUAUUUCUUGAUUUUUUUAAUUUUAGGGAUUGCUACUGUGAAAGAGAAAUUCUAAUGUGGCAUCCAUGAUUCUUGUUUCCUAGUGUCCACAUUUUUGAGUGACUCCCUUUCUUUUGAGCUUGUGUUUAGAUGGGAUGUACAAUUUACUUCUAAUUAAUAGAAUAUAGCACAGUUUAUAGAACGUGACUCCUGUGAUUAGGUUACAUUAUGUGGCAAAAGUGCAGGGGUUUUUUGUUUUGUUUUGUUUUUGUAAUUAAGCCUCCUAUUCAGUUGGCUUUAAGUUAUUUGAAAGGGAAAUUUAUCCUGUGUGGGUCUUACCUAAUCAGAAAAAUCUUCAAAGAAGGUGUAGAGGUAUAUGAUUGGAAGCAUCUUUCUCUCAAUUUCUCUCUCUUUCUGUCUCUGUUAUGCACGUUGUUAAAUUUGAAGAACCAAGCUGCCAUGAAUUCUGCAAAUGGAAAAUGAAUUCUAGCAACAAUUUGCAGGGGUUUAGAUGUGGAUCCUUCCACAAUCAAGCCUCCAGAUUAGAAUGUAACAUGCAGAAGGGCCCAGCUCAUUUGUACCCGGACUUCUGACCCACAGAAACUGUGUGAUAAAUGAGAGUUGUGAUAAUAUUUUAUGCAGAAAUUGGGAUAUUGAGUGAAGAAUGAAGAUCAUAAUUACAGCAAAAUUGUGAUACUUUCUCUUUAGAGCCAGCUUAUUCUGGAUCUUUAUUGAACUUAAUGAAGAUUUUAUAAAUAAAAGAACAGACCCUAGGGAAAAUGGUGAUACUUGUGUCUCACCCAGGAAACAUCUACAGCAAGCUACUCCUUAGACCUUCCAAUCUUCAGCCAAAGCCUCAGGUGACAUCCGCAGUGAGGUCUGGCAGCAGGAGGGAAAGGAGGAGAGAGGAGAGGUCAGCAUCUCAGUAUCCACCCUCCACCUCGCCACCACUUGCUCCACAGAUGCAGGACUCCGAGGCAGCAUCUGAAAGUCAUCCAUUUCCUCCCCGCCUUCCCUCUGAAAUGCUUUUCUUAAAAAAAAUGCCCCACGGAUCUAAAUAAGGUUUUUCUCUGAGUAGAGGGAUUUCAGUCUGGUUCUCUGUGUACUGUAGGUAUAAGACCUAAGUGAAAAAUAUAGAGGAGUUAAGAGUCACACAGGAGGCCUUUUUACUGUCUGCGUGUUUUGCAUUUCCCUCCCUAGCAAUAAAAUAAAUAAAAGAAAACA